UUGCCCAGAUGAGGAGGUGGUGACAAUGAAAUGCGACUGUUGUGAUGCAGUGAUUGUUGGGUCGGUCACCAGGGGCUGCAGCAUUUCACACCAGGAUGUCGCCCAGAGCACAUGGCUGCUGCCUGUUGGUCUGAGUACAGGGACCGGGGUGAUAGAGUUGGAACUUCUCGGACCAACCUGCUUCCAUUGCUAAAGAAGGGAACGUGACUAAGGAAGCCACUUAUACCUACGAGAUUGGUAAGAAAACAGCUGAUUGUAAGGAGAGAAAAAGGAUAAAGCAGUACAGCCAUUUGUUCUCUGACAAAAAUACUCUGUCAAACAUUGAUCUUUGCAGCAGGUCAUAUUUUGAGAUGCAAGGAUGACAGAUGGCUGUAGGAUACAGGAAGGAAUUAGCGGAUCCAUCCCUUUAAGGAGGUAAGAAAUACAAUACGCCAUUGCCCAAACAAACAGUCAAUGGUUCUGGUCAUACUUUCAGGUGGAAGAAAUGUAACUGAUGAAAUAGUCACCUCUCGAAAGGGCAGAAGAAGUUGCUGUCCUGAAUAAAGCAAUAAAAAAGUGGGAGUUACCUGUUCAGAGGUAAGGAAAGUCGGUAAUUCUAACCGAUGAUCAUGACAUCUGCUCUUUUCUCCUUCCUGGCUAAUGGUUGGUUGUUCCGACAAGGAUGUAUCACAGAAAAUGUGCAACUAACCAGAGUGUGAAGAUGAGCAUUUAUCCUGCUCUUACAUUUGCAGAGAUGAGUUGUCCAGCUGAUUCUCUUUGUGAAGAAUUGAUCAUUGUUGCUUAUUUAUCAAAUGUGAAGAAGAAGUCAGGGGAAUUGAUCAUUUCUAUCAAGAGGUAAGGAACGCACCUCCUCUCAGCACAGGGGUAGGAAUAGCUGGCUCUAUUUCUAUUUUCAGGUGAAAUGAAGGUCUGACCAUUAAGGGGGGAGAAGAGAAGAUAAGAGGUUGCUGAAUUUAAUAGACAGGUAACACUACCUGGCCAGGGGGAAGAAAAGAAUCUUUUACUUCUAGCUCAGAAAGAGGAAAGCAGCCAAUUAUACGCUUCAGGUUGUAGCCAGUGUAGCUGGCUGUACCUCGAAGAAUCAAAGCCUUGGGGUGAAACAUCACUGACAAGUAGGUGAGCACUGGAAAGUCUGUAGAAGCCUAACGAUCUGGAUGCUAAGGAACCGUUUCUAUUGACGACUCUUCAUAACUGGUAAUGAAUAAUAAUAAAUAAUUGUCAGGUUUUGCUAAUUGGAGAUAUGAACAGACCAGGUGGCCAUUCCUACCAGGGAGAAGUGAGGGUAAGUGGCUGUCCCGGGCAAGGAGGUAAGAAAUACCAGUCUCCAAACAUCCAUGUGUAUAUCAAGUGGUGUGGAGUUUACUUUCAGGGAGAAGAACUGUGGUGGACCUUACUUGUCAUGGGGAGAGUGUGAAAAGCAGAGGCAAGACAAAGCAACAUGCACUUGCCAGCUGCUCAAUCCAUGGAGGACUCCAAUGAGAAGACGUUGUUAUUUCAAGGAACAACAAACAGAAAACAAGCAAUCACUUCAAAUAGUUCAGCUAGUUGCAAAUCUGAAUAUGAGGCAAGUCAGCAGAACACAGACAUGGAGAUGAGAGAAAUGCAGCUGAUUUGAACUUUGAGGGUGUGAAAACUUCAGGAAGUUGCGAGAAGAUCUGAGAUAUCUGCAGGAAGGAAACCAGUGAAACUCAUCACUGCUGCCAAGAGGUAAGGAACUCACCUCAUAAUGGAGAAAUUAAUGGAUCUGGUUUCCCUUCAGGUGAAAGAAAUGCAGCUGAUCUGAUCUCCCAGGGGUUGAGGACUAUAAGCAGUCAUGUUACUGAAGAAUACAGGAACACAUGUUCCCGGACCUGCAGAGAGGGAAAAAAGUUGCCUUCCUUGACUAGAAUGGGAAGACAAUCCCUUAUCACCGUCAUGUUUCAAACCCACAAUGCAGGAGACUGUCACUGACAGAGGAGAAGAUUUACACAUACUCAGGAUUUGAGCACAAAGGAAUAGGAAUGGAGCUGAAUAGAUCCAACACCUGAAAGGACAAUUGGAGCUCCUAAGAUAUGAAACCAUGAAAAAGACCCUUCAUUCAAUAAAGCAACAGUACAGGCUCUGAGGAGAGGUAGGCAGCAUUUGGUAAGUCUACCAAAUGAGCAUACAAUCAACUCUACAAAGUUGCUAACUUAUGUUGUGUCAAAGGGUUUGUUACAGCUGAUCACACAUCUCAGCAUCAAAGAGGAGCUCAGGGGAAUGGCAGACCUCAGGGGAUUCAUCUUUAUCAGGAGGUGAUGAACCUGCUUGUCACUUCUGAGUGACAUCCGUGGCUUUGGUUAGACUUUCAGAUGAAAGAAACACAGCCAGUGUGGUCAGUAUUCAAGAAAUAAUGUUCAAAAGUUGCCUGGGGUCACCUCUUGGGCUAAGGGGAGCAGCUGGUCCCAUCUGCUGGGAUGGAAGCAAAGAAGAAAGCACUAGCCACUGGUUAGUACUGGGACACAGACAAUAUCCUGGAGGGGCCUGGGACAGGGUGUGUAACCACAGUGACCAGUGGGUCCUUUCCCCACUGUGGUCCUGGCUCGCAUGCACAGGGUGAAACUGAUCGCCAUGUUUGGGGUCAGGAAGGAAUUUUCCUCCAGGGCAGAUUGGCCAGAGACCCUGGAGGUUUUUCGCCUUCCUCUGGGGCAUCGAGCAGGGACCAGCCCUUUGGGCCAUUUAGAAACUGACAAUAAAAUACA